GCGGCUUUAAACUUAGUUGUGCUAACAUGAUCACGAUUGUCUUUACCAGUCAGAUGACAUUUUACAGUCGACUGAUUGAUGAACGAUCUCUCAUCCACUUUGUGAUGAAGUUUAUUCGGAAGUCUAUAAAUACGGCCUCUGAAAGUCGCCUCUUGAUAGAGAAGACGAAUGUAAAACAAUCCAUCGAGGCCUGGAGACAGUACCUGAACAAAGAAGCUGAGAAAAACGGGCAUCAACAGCCUGAGAGAACAAGUCCUGGGGGACCUGACCCCCACCACCACUUCAUAAAUAACUAGAUUCUAGUUUUCUUAUGGGAGGUGGCUCCGUUGUACUCAUUAAAGAAGAUACCAUUAUCACAGCCCAGCAGCCAACAAGGUACCGCUACCUUUUUAGGUUGUCGAUGUCAAUAGCCAUAAAUCGGUAUUAUCUUUUUAUCGGAUGCCUAUUGACUUCUCAAAAUUAUUAUUUAAAAGUACAUUUCCCCAUGUUCAAACCCAAGCCUUGAUACCCGACUCUUCAGGGUAUGAGUUUGAAUAUUGAGAGACGCGGGUUUAGAUAAUAUAGUUUUGAGAAGUUAACAGGCAGCCAAAGAUGAUAAUGCCGACUUAUGAGCAUGAAACCCACGUCCUAAAAUAGCGAUAAUACGAAGUAAGUGGACAUGUAAAGAGAAUAAUACUAACUUAUGCAACGAAUACACAGUGAUAUCUUCUUUAAAGAGUUAAAAUAAAAUUCAUAUCUUCUUACAA